rnacentral:rRNA from 1 species
AUUGAACGCUGGCGGCAUGCCUUACACAUGCAAGUCGAACGGCAGCACGGGUGCUUGCACCUGGUGGCGAGGGGCGAACGGGUGAGUAAUACAUCGGAACAGGUCCUGUAGUGGGGGAUAGCCCGGCGAAAGCCGGAUUAAUACCGCAUACGAUCUACGGAUGAAAGCGGGGGACCUUCGUGCCUCGCGCUGUAGGGUUGGCCGAUGGCUGAUUAGCUAGUUGGUGGGGUAAAGGCCUACCAAGGCGACUAUCCGGAAGUGGCCCGAGAGCGCGACCAGCCACAUUGGCACUGAGAAACGGCCCCGACUCCUACGGGAGGCAGCGGUGGGGAAUUUUGGACGAUGGACGAAAGCCUGAUCCAGCAAUGCCGCGUGUGUGAAGAAGGCCUUCGGCUUGUAAAGCACUUUUGUCCGGAAAGAAAUCCUUGGCCCUAAUACGGUCGGGGGAUGACGGUACCGGAAGAAUAAGCACCGGCUAACUCCGUG